rnacentral:rRNA from 1 species
CGGUGGUAGAGAAGAACGUUGCAUAGAGUGGAAAAUUAUGCAAGUGACGGUAUUUAACCAGAAAGGGACGGCUAACUACGUGCCAGCAGCCGCGGUAAUACGUAGGUCCCGAGCGUUGUCCGGAUUUAUUGGGCGUAAAGCGAGCGCAGGUGGUUUAAUAAGUCUGAUGUAAAAGGCAGUGGCUCAACCAUUGUGUGCAUUGGAAACUGUUAGACUUGAGUGCAGUAGAGGAGAGUGGAAUUCCAUGUGUAGCGGUGAAAUGCGUAGAUAUAUGGAGGAACACCGGUGGCGAAAGCGGCUCUCUGGACUGUCACUGACACUGAGGCUCGAAAGCGUGGGUAGCAAACAGGAUUAGAUACCCUGGUAGUCCACGCCGUAAACGAUGAGUGCUAGUUGUUUGGGGCUAUCCAGCCCUAAGUGACGCAGCAAACGCAUUAAGCACUCCGCCUGGGGAGUACGACCGCAAGGUUGAAACUCAAAGGAAUUGACGGGGGCCCGCACAAGCGGUGGAGCAUGUGGUUUAAUUCGAAGCAACGCGAAGAACCUUACCAGGUCUUGACAUACUCGUGCUAUUCCUAGAGAUAGGAAGUUCCUUCGGGACACGGGAUACAGGUGGUGCAUGGUUGUCGUCAGCUCGUGUCGUGAGAUGUUGGGUUAAGUCCCGCAACGAGCGCAACCCCUAUUGUUAGUUGCCAUCAUUAAGUUGGGCACUCUAGCGAGACUGCCGGUAAUAAACCGGAGGAAGGUGGGGAUGACGUCAAAUCAUCAUGCCCCUUAUGACCUGGGCUACACACGUGCUACAAUGGUUGGUACAACGAGUCGCAAGGCAGUGAUGUCAAGCUAAUCUCUUAAAGCCAAUCUCAGUUCGGAUUGUAGGCUGCAACUCGCCUACAUGAAGUCGGAAUCGCUAGUAAUCGCGGAUCAGCACGCCGCGGUGAAUACGUUCCCGGGCCUUGUACACACCGCCCGUCACACCACGAGAGUUUGUAAUAUACAAAGCCGCUGAGCUAACCAAGUACGUAACAACCAUCCGUAGA